ensembl:snoRNA
CUGAGCCUGUGAUGUGCUGUUAUCCCUGUCUGACACUCAGCUUGAGGAGGAAAGUGUCCACUGAGGCUCAG